GGUUCCACGCGUGCGCGCGCCCCGUGACCACGCCCUGUUGCUGGUGAAGGGGAAGGAGAGACAUCAGCAAGACCGUUCCCUGCAUCCAUCCCUCCAUUGAGUUUCAGGUCAACAAUAGAAUUUCCACAAACUUGUGACAGAAUGCUUUUUUAAAAUGGUGAACAAUGAUUCUAAAACCCCAAAGUUCCAUAAGAUCAUAUUGAGGCAUUGGAAAAAGGAGCUCCCUCCAGUAUGCAGAUGACUCAAUAUCCUGAGAAGGCACCUUUAUUUAUACUGGAAGAUCCUGCAGAUACCUGCCUAACAAAACUCUGCUAUCCUUAAUGCUGUGGACUAGAAGUAACAGCUGCUUUCAAGGUCAAGUCUGGAAUGUUCCAAGGCACUGGACAUGAGACAUUCAAGAGCCUGGAGAAGAGACAAACGUUGUCUGUGCAAGGCCAGAGACAAGUAAAGGAGCCAUGGCUACAGUUUGUGGACCAGUAGUCUCUGGACCCCCAGUCUUCAGACUCUUAGGCCAGGGCUUGAGUCUCAGAUUUUGUUGUUUGGCACAGUGAGUGAGCUGGGCAUCGAUAUGGAGUCAGGUAGAAUAGAAAACAGGACUUACACUGAUACAUUACCUUGGUAAAGCUGUUGUGAGUGAAUACAAGGUUGGAUGAAUCAAGAACCCUUGGCAACAAUUGAUGCUCAAGAAGGAGGUGACUGUCCGAGAAGUAAUGAUGCCACAUCAAGUUGGCUCAAUAAAGAUGCGCUUUGUGCAUUUGCUUGCUUCAGAACAACAAGUAAUCAGGCUCCUUCCACCCCACUCAAAUGUUUGCAGAGGGGUGUUUGAUCAGUUCAAAUGUUAAUUUAGAAAUCACAUAUAUGGCCACUGUAACUGGAACACUUUCAGUGUUCUUUCUGGAAUGCUGUGGUAUGAGUUUGCUGAUAAAUGCCAGUGUUUGCAUCCAUUAUAAGGCUGGUGAGGACCAGUAGUUUCCUAGGCACAGUUUGAGAUAAACUAAAAAAUAAAAAGAACCAUUGCCCUGUGCCUAGAAAAUGUCA
rnacentral:lncRNA from 1 species